AUGGUGGAUGUCAUUGCUAGGCCACUCUCCAUCACCUUUGAAAGGUCAUGGAGAACAGGAGAGGUGCCUGAAGACUGGAAGAAGGCCAAUGUCACUCCAAUCUUCAAAAAGGACAAGAAGGAGGACCCAGGGAACUACAGGCCAGUCAGCCUCACCUCCAUCCCUGGAAAGGUGAUGGAGCAGCUCAUCCUGGAGGCCAUCUCUAAGCAUGUGAAGGAAAAGAAGGUGAUCAGGAGUAGUAAGCAUGGCUUCACCAAGGGGAAAUCAUGCUUAACCAAUCUGAUAGCCUUCUAUGAUGGAAUGACUGSCUGGGGAGAUGAGGGGAGAGCAGUGGAUGUUGUCUACCUUGACUUCAGCAAGGCUUUUGACACUGUCUCCCAUGACAUCCUCAUAGGCAAGCUCAGGAUGUGUGGAAUGGAUGAGCAGACAAUGAGGUGGAUUGGGAACAAGCUGAAUGGCAGAGUUCAGAGGGUUGCGAUCAGUGGUGUAAAGUCUAGUUGGAGACCUGUAGCUAGUGCUGUCUCCCAGGGGUCAAUACUGAGUYCAGUAUUGUUCAACUUCUUCAUCAGUGAGCUGGAUGAAGGGACAGAGUGCACCCUCAGCAAGUUUGCUGACGAUACAAAACUGGGAGGAGUGGCUGAUAACCCAGAGGGCUGUGCUGCCAUUCAGAGGGACCUGGACAGGCUGGAGAGGUGGGCAGAGGGGAACCUCCUGAAGUUCAGCAAAGGCAAGUGCAGGGUCCUGCACCUACGGAGGAAUAACCCCAUGCACCAGUACAGGUUGGGGGCUGACCUGCUGGAAAGCAUUUCCACGGAGAAGGACCUGGGAGUGCUGGUGGACACCAAGUUAAGCAUGAGCCAGCAAUGUGCCCUUGUGGCCAAGAAGGCCAAUGGCAUCCUGGGGUGCAUUAGGCAGAGCAUUGCCAGCAGGCUGAGGGAGGUGAUCCUCCCCCUCGACUCAGCCCUGGUGAGGCCACAUCUGGAGCACUGCGUCCAGUUCUGGGCUCCCCAGUACAAGAGGGAUGUGGCACUACUGGAGCAAGUCCAGCGAAGGGCUACAAAGAUGAUUAGGGGACUGGAGCAUCUCUCUUAKGAGGAAAGGCUGAGAGAGCUGGCCCUCUUCAGCCUGGAGAAGAGAAGGCUGAGAGGGGAUCUUAUCAGUGUAUACAAAUAUCUGAAGGGAGGGUGUCAAGAGGAUGGGACCAGACUCUUUUCAGUGGUGCCCAAUGACAGGACAAGAGGCAACGGGCACAAACUGAAACACAGACUAUUCCAUCUGAACAUGAGGAAAUACUUCUUCACUGUGAGGGUGACAGAGCAGUGGCAUAGGUUGCCCAGAGAGGUUGUGGAGUCUCCUUCUCUGGAGAUAUUCAAAACCUGCCUGGACACAAUCCUUGGAAAUGUGUUCUAG
rnacentral:lncRNA from 1 species